AGAGACAUUGCUUGACAUGACAAGUAUAUGCAUGUUUUAUUUAUAAGUUUAACACAAAAUCAAUGAUAAUUUUGACUGGUUGUAUAGUCCACUAUUAUCUUGCCACAAGCCACAAUCAUACUAUGAAUAAACACAAACCUAUAACAGCAACUAAAACAAAUAUAAAAAAUGAAUUUUUUAUAAAAAUGUUUGUUGACACUGAUAAUUUUUUAACUCUAAUUAACGACGGUUGUAAUUUCAUCAUAACAUUAUCUCAGUUCUUCACAUUCACAUCAAUUUAAAUUCGAUUUUUUUGGUGAAUUUCAUAAGAUAACUACAUCUAUCCAUUUUGUUACCAAUAGAAUCGUAUAUAAGAAUAACUUUUAAUGUUUGUCUGACCUAAAUAGAAAUAUCUGAGUAGUUCAGUGUUCGUGAGAGUUUUACUUUCAUCAUAACACUAUCUUCUGUCAAUGGAUUAGCGUAUGGCUCUUAAGGCUUAACUAAAAUGGCAAAAAUUAAAGUCUUCGAUAUAUUUUUCAAAGAAAUAAUACUUCUAAUUGAAGAUUAUACAAACGUAUUUCAAAGUUCCUCCCAAUUAACUGAGAAUCAGAGACGAAUCGUAGGAGAUGCACAACCACGAGUCAGCAAUCCGAGUCGAAAAAUUGGGCAAACAAAGGAAGAAAAUCAUAGAAAACGAUAAAACAAUAUUCAGAGAGAACAAAAAUCUAAAAUGAAAAGCGUAAGCCUCAGAUUAGCAUUUUGACACAUUCUUCAUCGAAACAACAACCCGUGAAAAUAAACUAACACGGUGCGCAUAAAUGUUGUCGCUGCUCAUGCCAAUAAUACUUUCAUCAUCAGCUACUUCUCAAAAUUCAAUUCACUCAUUCCUAAUCUAAACAAAACAAAAAACUUCUGUUCCUUUUCCAAUUUCACAAUCCAAUUCAAUUAAAACAAAAUAGUAAGACAACGCUUGAAAUGAAGAAAAACUGCAAAAACAGAAAACAAAAUUUUCAGAUCCAAGUCUCGCAGCAAUCGCAAGUUGCAAGUGCCAAUUAGGGUUUGGUGAAACGAAGCUUA
rnacentral:lncRNA from 1 species